ensembl:lncRNA
UGACAGGAUCUCUUCCUCUGCUGACACCCAGAUCCUUGGAGAAAGAAAAAUGAUCCAGUGGAAGAAACAAAAGAAAUAACAUGCUUCAUGAAAGGCACAGUGACUGGUUUGAAAGACCCGUUCUCGCAAGGGGAGCUGGAGGCAGAAGGACGUGAAACAGGAGAGGGAGCCAUUGCAUGCUAUCUGCCGUCCUGCUGCUCAGGCACAGCACCAGGAGAUCCGUGCCCUCUUCACAGUCCAUUUCUUCAACAACUGUGUGUCAUCGGCCGACGGCUCAGGAAACCAUGCAGCUGGGCAGGAACUGCCAGGAAGAGCUCAGCCUCCCUGAACUCUCGAGGGCACAAAAUGAAUCAACCUGCCCAUGUCAGGAGCCAGUUCUCCGAGCUCCUGCUGUGGAGGAGAAGAGAAGCCACGCUCCUGGAGACAUCCCAGCUCCUGCCUGGCACCGAGUGCUGUGCAAGGAGGUUCAAUGCAGCAGCCAUCACCAGAUGGUGCUGCUGCAUACAGCCUUGCAAGGUCACGGUGCGCAGGGAUGUUUUGAUUCUUGGAAGAAAAUACUCAACUGGGGAUGUUUCUCCGCUGCUUGGGUGUCUGGAGAGUAGGCAGGGUAUGUUCUGACUUUAUGUCACUAGCCAAGUCUCUUUGAGAAUGGGUCACUUGGGUUUUGGCUGGGAAUUCAGAACAGGGGUGGGUUCAGGUGCUGUUUGAGAUGAUCUGUUCCAGACUGGUUCAAGUGGAUAAACAAAAUUAAUUAUGUUCACAUCAUAUGAUCGCACAGGAUCGAUUUUUUCCUCCAGUGGAAAACUGGCUGGCAACGGGUACUGCCGCUAAUCAGAAACAUGUAUCGCUACAGUUCACCUGCAUUUUCCGUUAGCUUUACAAUCUUGCUGUUUUUUUAAGGCCCAGGUCCAGGAAUCAUGUUAUCACAGGAGAAUUCAGUGUGCCACUGUGUAGAAAAAGUGAUGUCCCCUUUCCUACUGCUUUUAUAUGUGAAAAUUCAGUGCAGCAAAGAUCUUCAGCUUAUGCGAUUACGCAGAGGAAACAGCAUUGCCUGAACCUUUAACUACCAGAUUUUAGUCUUCUCCCUGCUUGUGUCAGUAAAUACGUGAUUACUUCUCACAAGUUGCUUGGGAAGGCUUUCAUCUCUGCUUCCUCAGAAAAAGGUCAAGGGAAAAGGCUAAGCCAAAAAUUGUUCUUUUUAAAUCAGCAUUCUUGAUUGCUAUUGCACUGAGCUCUCUGAAGGCCUCUAGGCAGAGUAAAAUCUACGUUUGAUGAUUUGAAGUUUACAGAGUAGGCACUCCAGACUUCAUAAGGCCUUCAGCCUCAGCCUGUGGACAUUCAUGGUGGGUGCUUUAAAGUUCACUGUCUUUAGGUCUCAUCUCCAGUUGUUAUGGAGUCAUGGUGAAGUUUUGUAAGAACUGUGGUUUGACCAUCCUGGUCAGUACAGGAUCUGUCCAGACUUCAAGGGACAGCUCAUGGCUAGGAAAGACAGAGAUGAUGAAAGUGCAAAAUGACAAAUGAUGAUACACUUCAGAAAGUAAAUGAUUUUUUUUUUUUAUGGUAUCAUGAAAGAAGAAUAGUUGUGAAGCAAAAACUAGAGAGAUAGCAGAUGCACAAC